rnacentral:lncRNA from 1 species
UUAAUUGAAAAUUUAUUGUUAACAAUAAAGUAAAAUUUUAUGAAAACCCUCUCACAUAUAGUCCACUUCGAUAUGAUCCUAACUCGGAAAAGCGUGAAAUUUAUUUUUCAGAUAGUUUAAAUGGUUUAGAUCAUGUUUAACGGUGCCGAUUGUCAAUUUGGAAGCUCUAUCAUUGAACAUAAAUUGCAGAAAACCGAGCUGUACUACCGAUAGAAUUGUAGCAAAACUCUAUAUAUAUACCCUCUCAACCUAAGUAUUCUUUUUUUAAUU